AGCAGCCGCGGUAAUUCCAGCUCCAAUAGCGUAUAUUAAAGUUGUUGCAGUUAAAAAGCUCGUAGUUGAAUUUCGAGGUUAGUAGGUUGGUCAUGCCUCUGGUAUGUACUGGUCUCACUGAUUCCUCCUUCCUGAUGAGCCGUAAUGCCAUUAAUUUGGUGUUGCGGGGAAUUUGGACUGUUACUUUGAAAAAAUUAGAGUGUUUAAAGCAAGCUAACGCUUGAAUACAUUAGCAUGGAAUAAUGAAAUAGGACGUUCGAUCCUAUUUUGUUGGUUUCUAGGAUUGACGUAAUGAUUAAUAGGGAUAGUUGGGGGCAUUAGUAUUCAAUUGUCAGAGGUGAAAUUCUUGGAUUUAUUGAAGACUAACUACUGCGAAAGCAUUUGCCAAGGAUGUUUUCAUUAAUCAAGAACGAAAGUUAGGGGAUCGAAGACGAUCAGAUACCGUCGUAGUCUUAACCAUAAACUAUGCCGACUAGGGAUCGGAUGAUGUUAAUUUUUUAAUGACUCAUUCGGCGCCUUA
rnacentral:rRNA from 1 species